rnacentral:lncRNA from 1 species
ACACACACACUCUCUCUUUCUCAUUCUCCUUUCCCUCCUCUCCAUCUCCCUAUUGCAUUGUGUCUGACUGAUUUUCAGAGCACCUUCGCUGUUUCCCCCUUCUCGUUCCCUUCUCAUAAAAUAUCUAGACAGGAAGGAGGUGGCUGCAGAGGCUGAACAAUCUCAUAUUCUGCCUGCAAUGUCAUCGUUUCUUUCCCCCAUUUUAGGGGGCUGAAGUUGCCCAGCAAGGGAUGCAGAGGAGCUGGAAAAGAAGGGGGGAGCUCUCCAGAGGCAGCUGCGGUCAGGGGCAGGGACUGCCGCCAGAUGUGCCUGCCUUUCUGGGCUUUGAUGAGAAAGGGGCAGCAGGAGGAAAUAUUGGGAGACAAAAGCCCCGGUUUAAAUGAUCAUUUUCUUUAUUUAACAUGGCAGCAGACACUCUCUGCGUAGGAUCAUCAUGCCGAGCAUAAACUGGACUUUCCCACUUGCCUGGCAGGAGUCACACAGAUCCCUGCGUGCUAAAUGAACAUCUGAGGUUUUGGUAUCAGGAUGAUGCUGGCAUCAUAAAAUGAGUAUUUUUCUUCAGACUUCAGACUGCUGUGCUGGAAGCAAGAAUUUCAAGCAUUGGAUCUUAGCUUGCUGGGCUCCAUAGGGGUGGGAUCCACUGAGCUAGACCACUUGGCUCCCUGGCUUCAGCCCCCUUCCAGAUGUCCUUGGCGUGUACACCCUGUGGAAUCUGGUUCAUCUUCAAUCUGUCAGAAGGCAUCAGAGGUGGUUUUGACUCCUUAUGUCUUGGACCUGUGCACAAAAAGUGUAAAAUGGAUGGAACAUCAGACAGCUCAUUAUAGAGACAAGUAAGCUCCAGUUCCAAAGUUGGUUGACAGAACAAGUCAUGACCUUGUGUGGAGGAAAAUGAGAUCCCGAGUGAAGUCUACAAUGUCAUUGACUCUGAAGAAGGACUCAGAGACCCAUUGGUGUUUAAUGACCCUUACUGGCCUAUGCAAUGGAAACUGGUAUGAUCUUCAGAAAUAGAUGGUUCUUUGGCAGUGUUAAGAAAUAUUAUUUUUGUCAUGUUCUAAUGCAGUAGAUAGGCACUUUUAUGCACUGCCUGCUUUUAUCUAUUGGUUUUGCAGAGAGAGACUUAGCAAACUUUUGAUGAAAUAUUACUGCCAUCUUAUUAAUGAACACUAAUCCUUUUAAUUUGAUUACAUCCUUAGGGUUUGAUUUAAUCUAUAAAAGACACCAGUAAAAACCCCAAGAUAUUUAAAUUUGGUGUGUGUAAACAGACUCAUUACAUAGAAAUGUUGUUGCCAUUCAGGCUUGAAGUUUUUGUUCUUGCAUAACUUAGAAUAUAUUCUAUAUUACAUCAAUACUGAGAGAACUUGUCUUUAUGGAUUAAGUGGAUGUUAGAACAUUGCCCAACAGACUUUUUUUCAUAAUGCUUAUUUUGUUGGACCUUUUAGUAUCACAUUGCCCUCCCAUUUAUAUAAGACGGUAAUAAUGAAAAGGUUUGAGAAAAGCACCCUUAAUUUUGAAUGCAAAUAAGUUUAAAAAAAUGAUGUACAUACCAUGGAAAAUUUUAUAAGGAAACAUUUAAAAUGUGAAGAUAACUUGGUGAUAAUAUUGGAGAGAAAUUACAACCUUAUUAUAUGCAUAAUUAGUUCUUCAUAGGUCUGCAGAUUAUAUUGUGUUGUAGAGGGUCCAAUGUUGCAAAAUGAGGAAAAGGUUAGGUGCAUUUUAUCAUUUUAAGGGCCAUGAUGAGAUAAAACAUGGUAAGCUGUUGUGCUGGCUCUUUUUAUGUUGAUCAUUGGCAGUUACCAAGCUGACUAUCUGACAUGAGCUGAAAACCUAUGUUGAAAAAAUGUCCAGUUCCAUUUUAUGUAGCUUCAACUCAUCUUUAAAAAAUGAAGUGAUUUAGAACACAUGUCACGCACUCCUGGGCCAGCCAGCUUCCCUUUCUCUCCUCGUAUGUAAUAUCUUUUUUUCCCCUUUCUAGCAAGUACUUUCAAAAGAACUCUGUACAUUUUAACAUAAAAAAUAAAUUAUGUUGGGCCAUUUUGGAAAAAAAAUACUUAUUUGGCUAAAUUUAACAUUUCAAACAAAUAAAAAAUUCAAGCAGAAAAUAAAAAAAA